rnacentral:rRNA from 1 species
AUUGAACGCUGGCGGCAGGCCUAACACAUGCAAGUCGAACGGUAACAGGAAGAAGCUUGCUUCUUUGCUGACGAGUGGCGGACGGGUGAGUAAUGUCUGGGAAACUGCCUGAUGGAGGGGGAUAACUACUGGAAACGGUAGCUAAUACCGCAUAACGUCGCAAGACCAAAAAGGGGGACCUUCGGGCCUCUUGCCAUCGGAUGUGCCCAGAUGGGAUUAGCUAGUAGGUGGGGUAACGGCUCACCUAGGCGACGAUCCCUAGCUGGUCUGAGAGGAUGACCAGCCACACUGGAACUGAGACACGGUCCAGACUCCUACGGGAGGCAGCAGUGGGGAAUAUUGCACAAUGGGCGCAAGCCUGAUGCAGCCAUGCCGCGUGUAUGAAGAAGGCCUUCGGGUUGUAAAGUACUUUCAGCGGGGAGGAAGGGAGUAAAGUUAAUACUUUUGCUCAUUGACGUUACCCGCAGAAGAAGCACCGGCUAACUCCGUG